GGGGAAGGCAGGUUGUGAGGAAGACUAAUUUAUGUGAGCCAAGCUGAGAGUAAUAUAGUAAUCUUGAAGAACUGCAGAAAUUUUCAUGACAAUUCAUAAGGAAAAUAUUUACUUUUCCCUAUCUGAAUUCUACUGUCAUGUCGUACUCCGGUGUUGCAUGAGCUGAGAGCGUCACUUACACUGGUAGUUCUAGGAAGGAAGUGUUGUGUUGUAGAGCUGGAUACCAAAGAGCUAAACAUGUCAGUGGGCAACCAUAGCACUGUGGAAUGCAAGGAAAUGGCAGAAGACCUCCCAGUACUGAUGCUGGAGAGAGGGCUUCAAAGUGGCCCAUAUGCAUGUGCAGAGAUACCACCUAACUUGCUGUCUUUGCCUUUGAGCUGGUGCUGUGAUGUUUGCGAAUGAAGUGCAAGCACCAGCAAGGCAGCGAUUCUACUGAGCAGCGCUGGGAAGCGGUGGCUGCUCGGACGCAGUGACAGAAUGGAAGCCAGCUGUAGCAGUGAAAGUCUCACAGGGUUAACCACAAAGUCUGCCUGCAGCUGCUGCAGCUCAAUACCCAGCAUUCACAUGAGGCCUCGCCAAACUGCCUUGUGACAUUUUUGAUUCACGUCAGGGACAGAGUACCAUUGUUUGGGGGAAAAAUAACUGUUUUAUAAAAUGUUCUGCAGGCUUUCAGUCAUUUAGUCUUUAUACUCUGCUCUGUGCCUCUCUCUAGGCUUGAAAAAGUUCUCCUUGCUUUGUUUUUCCAAUUGCUGCUUUAAAAAAAAAAAAAAGUGUUUCUGGCUUCAUUUCUUUCAAUGAGUAGCAUGAGCUUCUCCAUCAAGCUCUGGGAGAGGCCAGUGGCGGGCCCUGUUUUGCCUUAGACUCAUUGCUGUGACUGGGAGAAGGCUGAGCAGGAGCAGUAGCAUGCUCUGAUCAGCCAGGAAGGACAGUGGGUUUCAGGGGAUGGCCCUUCCCUCUGGUGACAGGCUGCAAGGAAGGAGGUGUCAAGGUGCCUUGGGACCUCUCGUGAUCCAGGAGGAGUGGGAAGCAUGCUUUUUCUUCUCCUAUACGAGUAAAGGCAAGUGCCUUCAAUGCUGGUUGACCUGGAAAGCCAAGCCUUGCCCUAAGCCCUCCAUGUCCAUGUGGUUGCUCUAUGUGAGACCUCAUUUCCCACAGGGCGCUGGGCAGAUGUAUAAGGAUGAGGUAUCCCACAGCACUGGGUCUCUGCUGGUGUAAGGAGAGAACAGUAAAAUAAAUCUUAUUACAAAGCUGUUCUUUAGGCA
rnacentral:lncRNA from 1 species